AACAUCGCGCACCUGCGGGAACCUGCGGAAGGAUCAUUACCGAGUUAUACAACUCCCAAACCCACUGUGAACCUUACCUCAGUUGCCUCGGCGGGAACGCCCCGGCCGCCUGCCCCCGCGCCGGCGCCGGACCCAGGCGCCCGCCGCAGGGACCCCAAACUCUCUUGCAUUACGCCCAGCGGGCGGAAUUUCUUCUCUGAGUUGCACAAGCAAAAACAAAUGAAUCAAAACUUUUAGCAA
rnacentral:misc_RNA from 1 species